rnacentral:SRP_RNA from 1 species
UGGUGGGGGACCGGGAAGCUGGUCGUUUCCUGUUACCCGAAAUCGACCUAUGCGGGGGUCCGCUAACGUCUUGGAGCGGCAUUUCCGACCAGGUGUAAGACCCAGCCGUCGACUGUGACAUCCUGCCCCAUCGGGCCGGCGGCGGGGGAGCGUCCUCUGAAGGGAGGGCUGCUACUCCCUAGCGGUCGAAACCGGCGAGGCCCGGAAGGGAGCGGUCGUAAGGUCGACGUCCGACGCUGGUGGGAUCACAGGGUGGAGGAGAUGACUGGGACACCUCACCUGGAAGGAGUGCCCAUCUAGGGCGGAUGCCACCA